AACGAACGCUGGCGGCAGGCUUAACACAUGCAAGUCGAGCGCCCCGCAAGGGGAGCGGCAGACGGGUGAGUAACGCGUGGGAAUCUACCCAUCUCUACGGAAUAACGCAUGGAAACGUGUGCUAAUACCGUAUACGUCCUUCGGGAGAAAGAUUUAUCGGAGAUGGAUGAGCCCGCGUUGGAUUAGCUAGUUGGUGGGGUAAAGGCCUACCAAGGCGACGAUCCAUAGCUGGUCUGAGAGGAUGAUCAGCCACACUGGGACUGAGACACGGCCCAUGCUCCUACGGGAGGCAGCAGUGGGGAAUAUUGGACAAUGGGCGCAAGCCUGAGCCAGCCAUGCCGCGGGAGUGAUGAAGUCCCCAGGGUUGUUAUGCUCUUUCACCGGCUCAGAUAAUGACGUCAUCCAGAGAAUUUGUCCCGGCUAACUCCCUCCCAGCAGCCGCGGUAAAAC
rnacentral:rRNA from 1 species